rnacentral:rRNA from 1 species
CCUACGGGAGGCUGCAGUCGGGAAUUUUGGGCAAUGGGGGCAACCCUGACCCAGCAACGCCGCGUGAGCGAUGAAGGCCUUCGGGUCGUAAAGCUCUGUCGGGAGGGAAGAAGGCUCUCGGGGUGAAUAAUCCCGGGGGAUUGACGGUACCUCCAAAGGAAGCGCCGGCUAACUCCGUGCCAGCAGCCGCGGUAAUACGGAGGGCGCAAGCGGCGUUCGGCGUCACUGGGCGUAAUGGGAAGUUAGGCGUGAAAGCCCGGGGCCUAACCCCGGAACUGCACUCGAAACUGCCUCGCUAGAGUCUCGGAGAGGGUGGUGGAAUUCCCGGUGUAGUGGUGAAAUACGUAGAUAUCGGGAGGAACACCAGCGGCGAAGGCGGCCACCUGGACGAUGACUGACGCUGAGACGCGAAAGCGUGGGGAGCAAACAGGAUUAGAUACCCUGGUAGUC